rnacentral:rRNA from 1 species
CUGGCUCAGAACGAACGCUGGCGGCAGGCUUAACACAUGCAAGUCGAGCGCCCCGCAAGGGGAGCGGCAGACGGGUGAGUAACGCGUGGGAAUCUACCCUUGACUACGGAAUAACGCAGGGAAACUUGUGCUAAUACCGUAUGUGUCCUUCGGGAGAAAGAUUUAUCGGUCAAGGAUGAGCCCGCGUUGGAUUAGCUAGUUGGUGGGGUAAAGGCCUACCAAGGCGACGAUCCAUAGCUGGUCUGAGAGGAUGAUCAGCCACAUUGGGACUGAGACACGGCCCAAACUCCUACGGGAGGCAGCAGUGGGGAAUAUUGGACAAUGGGCGCAAGCCUGAUCCAGCCAUGCCGCGUGAGUGAUGAAGGCCCUAGGGUUGUAAAGCUCUUUCACCGGAGAAGAUAAUGACG